GGAGUCUGAAAGUAGUAAAAUCUCUAAUGAAAUCGAGUCUCUUAUAGAUCCCGUGUAGAAGAUUCCAAUAGACUGGAGAGUGAUCUUGAAGAGUUGAAUUGCUCUUUGGAUUUAGGUGCAUCACAGUUGGGUCAGGGGAAGGCUAUAGAGGAUCCACAGGCUGAUUGCUCUAAAGAUGGAGAAGAUCGAUCAGAUAUGAUAAAAAUUCAUGAAGACCAGAAAUUUGAGGAGGAGAUUAAGAUAACCAGCGUAACGGUCUUUGUCAAUCCUUACUCAGAACCAGAUGAAGAGGAAGAGGAGGCCAAAGAAGAGGAAAAUCCUGAGGAUGAAGAUAAAGUUCGUUUCCAGACUCUUUUAAAUAUCAGCUGCCUUUAGAAAUUAUCAUUAUUGAGAUGACAAAAUAUUUGUCAUGCCUAUAUUAU